GUUAAGGUGGCAGAGCCCGGUCAUAAUGCAAAAGGCCUAAGCCCUUUGAACAGAGGUUCAAAUCCUCUCCUUCACU
rnacentral:tRNA from 1 species